rnacentral:rRNA from 1 species
UACGUAGGGUGCGAGCGUUAAUCGGAAUUACUGGGCGUAAAGCGUGCGUAGGCGGUCCCGCAAGUCCGCUGUGAAAGCCCCGGGCUCAACCUGGGAAUGGCAGUGGAAACUAUGGGACUUGAAUCUGGCAGAGGGGGGUGGAAUGCCACGUGUAGCAGUGAAAUGCGUAGAGAUGUGGCGGAACACCGAUGGCGAAGGCAAUCCCCUGGGCCUGCACUGACGCUCAUGCACGAAAGCGUGGGGAGCAAACAGG